UACGUAGGGCGCAAGCGUUAUCCGGAAUUAUUGGGCGUAAAGGGCUCGUAGGCGGUUUGUCGCGUCUGCUGUGAAAGACCGGGGCUCAACUCCGGUUCUGCAGUGGGUACGGGCAGACUAGAGUGAUGUAGGGGAGACUGGAAUUCCUGGUGUAGCGGUGAAAUGCGCAGAUAUCAGGAGGAACACCGAUGGCGAAGGCAGGUCUCUGGGCAUUAACUGACGCUGAGGAGCGAAAGCACGGGGAGCGAACAGG
rnacentral:rRNA from 1 species